rnacentral:lncRNA from 1 species
UUUUGGAUACAAGUCCUCUAUCAGAUAUGUGUUUUGCAAACAUAUUCCCCAGUGUAUGACUUGCAUUUUCAUUGUCUUAACAUUGUGAAGUUAUACUGGUAUCCUCUUUAUAAUUCAUAAAGAAGCUGAGUAAAUUCUCUGUAGUAUCAUUUGAAAUAUUUAUUUUCCAUUAUGUUCCUACCACAAUUACCCCUGGUUUCUAUUUCAACUCACCUGGACUAUUUUUAUAAUCACUUCAUGAUGUCCUCACUUGAGUCAUUUCCUUCACUGUUUUGCCGUACAUUCUACAACACUAUUUGAUCUUCCACAAAUGCUACCCUGCUCAUAUUAUUAUAGGAGCCAUUCU